rnacentral:rRNA from 1 species
GAUGAACGCUGGCGGCGUGCCUAACACAUGCAAGUCGAACGAUGAAACCGCCCUCGGGCGGACAUGAAGUGGCGGACGGGUGAGUAACACGUGACCGACCUGCCCCCCGCCCAGGGACAGCCCCCCGAAAGGGGGAUUAAUACCUGGUACUCCGGAAGCGGCGCAUGCCGCCCCCGGGAAAGCUCUGGCGGCGGGGGAUGGGGUCGCGGCCCAGCAGGUAGACGGCGGGGCAGAGGCCCACCGUGCCGACGACGGGUAGCCGGGUUGAGAGACCGACCGGCCACAUUGGGACUGAGAUACGGCCCAGACUCCUACGGGAGGCAGCAGUGGGGAAUGUUGCGCAAUGGGGGCAACCCUGACGCAGCAACGCCGCGUGCGGGACGAAGGCGUCCGCGUCGUAAACCGCUUUCAGCGGGGAACACCUAACGAGGGUACCCGCAGAAGAAGCCCCGGCUAAAUACGUGCCAGCCGCCGCCGUAAGAC